rnacentral:rRNA from 1 species
ACGCUGGCGGAAUGCUUUACACAUGCAAGUCGAACGGCAGCAUGGACUUCGGUCUGAUGGCGAGUGGCGAACGGGUGAGUAAUGCGCCGGAACGUAUCCCGUAAUGGGGGAUAACGCAGCGAAAGCUGUGCUAAUACCGCAUACGCCCUGAGGGGGAAAGCAGGGGAUCUUAGGACCUUGCGUUAGGGGAGCGGCCGACGUCUGAUUAGCUAGUAGGUGGGGUAAAGGCCUACCUAGGCGAUGAUCAGUAGCUGGUCUGAGAGGAUGAUCAGCCACACUGGGACUGAGACACGGCCCAGACUCCUACGGGAGGCAGCAGUGGGGAAUUUUGGACAAUGGGCGCAAGCCUGAUCCAGCCAUUCCGCGUGAGUGAAGAAGGCCUUCGGGUUGUAAAGCUCUUUCGGCAGGGAAGAAACGGUCACGGUGAAUAGCUGUGACUACUGACGGUACCUGAAGAAGAAGCACCGGCUAACUACGUGCCAGCAGCCGCGGUAAUACGUAGGGUGCGAGCGUUAAUCGGAAUUACUGGGCGUAAAGCGUGCGCAGGCGGUUUAUCAAGUCUGACGUGAAAGCCCCGGGCUUAACCUGGGAACUGCGUUGGAAACUGAUAGACUUGAGUGCGGCAGAGGGGGGUAGAAUUCCACGUGUAGCAGUGAAAUGCGUAGAUAUGUGGAGGAAUACCGAUGGCGAAGGCGGCCCCCUGGGUUGACACUGACGCUCAUGCACGAAAGCGUGGGUAGCAAACAGGAUUAGAUACCCUGGUAGUCCACGCCCUAAACGAUGUCAACUAGUUGUUGGGGAGGGAGACCUCCUUGGUAACGCAGCUAAC